CAGCACGCGAGGAUUGUGUGUGCGUAGAUAUCCCUCUCUCCGUCUUUCCAAACAGAGACUGCACUUCCGGUGGACGUGGAAGCCCAGGGCGCGAAGAUUACUGCAGAUGCAGACUGCAGCCAGGAAAUCAGAAGACAUUUACUUCUUCGGAGGAGAGCAAUGGCCAACCUUGACAAAAUAGUGAAAAGCAGAGACAUCACAUUGGCAACAAAGGUCCGCAUAGUGAAAGCAAUGGUAUUCCCCAUAGUAACCUAUGGAUGCGAGAGCUGGACCAUAAAGAAGGCUGAGCGAAGGAAGAUAGGCGCUUUUGAACUCUGGUGCUGGAGGAAAAUCCUGAGAGUGCCUUGGACCGCAAGAAGAUCCAACCAGUCCAUCCUCCAGGAAAUAAUGCCCGGCUGCUCACUGGAGGGAAGGAUAUUAGAGGCAAAGCUGAAGUAUUUUGGCCACAUCAUGAGGAGACAGGAAAGCUUGGGAAAGAUCACGAUGCUGGGGAAAAUGUAAGGAAAAAGGAGGAGAGGCUGACCAAGGGCAAGAUGGAUGGACGGUAUCCUUGAAGUAACUGGGUUGACAUUGAAGGAACUGGGGGCGGUGACGGCCGACAGGGAGCUCUGGCGUGUACUGGUCCAUGCGGUCACGAAGAGUCAGAGACGACUAAACGACUGAGCAGCAGCAGUGUUCCAUAGUUUGGAAUUUUUCCCCAAAUUUUGGAUUAACAGCAUUAUGUACUUGAAGAGAUGGGACCAAAACAAGAAAUGGUACUGUUUCAUUACCCGGGGAAGUGAGGAGGGGGAAUAACCAGCAAAAAUAGGGAAAAUUGGUUUUCUCUUUCAACUCUUAUUUAUUUACUACAUUUAUAUGCCGCCCUUCUCACCCCAAAGGGGACUCAGAGCGGCUUGCAUAUUACAUUCACAUACAAUACAUUAUAUUAUUAGCAUAGUACAAUACUAGCAUUAAAUUACUAUAUUGUACUAUAUCAUUAGGAGCCCCGGUGGCGAAGUGUGUUAAAGCACUGAGCUGCUGAACUUGCAGACCGAAAGGUCACAGGUUCAAUUCCCGGGAGUGGCAUGAGCGACCGCUGUUAGCUCCAGCUUCUGCCAAUUUAGCAUUCCGAAAACAUGCAAAUGUGAGUAGAUCAAUAGGUAACGCUCCAGUGGGAAGGUAACGGUGCUCCAUGCAGUCAUGCCGGCCACAUAACCUUGGAGGUAUCUACGGAAACGCCAGCCCUUUGGCUUAGAAAUGGAGAUGAGCACCACCCCCCAGAGUCAGUCACGACUAGACUUAAUGUCAGGGGGAAAAUUUUACCUUUAUCUUUACUUGCUGACUGUAAUGAUGGGAGCUGGAAGUGCCAGAUCUCUUCUGUCUUAUUGUUUACCAGUAUACUACACUACACAUGGGUGCAGUCAUGAAGGCAAUAGUACAUACAAAUCUUAAAGAGUUGUAACAGUUUGUUUUGGGCUUAGUUCUACUGCAUACCUUUCAAACUAAUUUGUGUAUGAAUAGGCAAAUGUUUAUUUUAAUUAGUGGGACUCCCAAGAACCAGGAAAAAAGUGAGACAAAAUAGACUUAUGUCUAUACUGUAUGCAGUCAAUCUUUUUGAAAUUACAGUUCCUCAUAAGAGCUUUCUUGCAGCUGUAGAAUGUACUGUAAGAUUUGUAUCAUCAAUUCCUUCAGACCUUUAUUGGUACUCAAGAGGUGAAAAUAGCCUGUAGAUUUUUAGUGUACAGAUAGUAUGAUGUGAAUGCGUUCCAAACACUGCUUACUCAGUGUCGUGCUUCAUAUUCUUUGAAUGUUUAAAUCCUCGUUCCUUUUAUCAAGAGUAAGGUAAACCUUAAACACCCGAAUGUUCUUACAUUAGUUUAGCCAAAACUGACAUUCUAAUUUCCAUGUAUCUUGUUCCUUUUGAAAUGUUAAUACCUUUUACCACAUACUGAAUUAAUAUUUUUACAUACUUCAGAUUUUUCCCCUUGUUCUUCCUGCGUGUUUUUGAAUUGAUAAAACAACUACAGAGCAAAAUGUUUUUUAACAUAUUUGUUUAUUGAUUUAUUUUUUUAAAUAAACUUUUAAAUAUUUUGA